GUACGCAAUAACAUAAAGGUUUCCGGAAAGAGUUGACAACAUUUCACUUGUAUAUAUAUUUGCAGAAACGAAAGCAAAAGUUAACCAAGAUAUUUAUAAACAAGAAAUAGCCGAAGAUAAAAUUGAAGAAUUCAAAUGGAAUCGGAUCAUGUUGAUAAUACAAUAAGAGAAAAACUUGAUCGAAGCGUCUUCCACCCUGACAGAAAGCAUGGUACCACUGAGCCCGGUGUUGGUGAUAUUUUGGACAGAACUCUGCAUUUAUCUACCUUAGAUAAUGAAAAGAUCAAUUCUCAAAAAAGGAUAACAAAUUUCAAAAAUGGAAACCUGCCUACAAUCUCCGAUAGUGACGAAAUUCAAAUCACCGAGGAGAAUGAAAAUAUUGAUAUCAUCUGUUCAGUUAUUAAUAAAAAUCAAAAUAUCAAGACAGAGGAAGAUAUUCAAGAGAAAGAUUUUGAGGGAUCGUUCGACUUUUCUUCAGAUUAUGUUCUUUUAUCAACACGGAACUCCACCGAUUCUCCGAGUAAUGUAAACAAUAAUGGGAAUGCGAUUCUUCGACUACUGAAUAUAACACCUACAACGAUUCUAAUAUGUUUUGGUGCUGGACUAAUAGCAAUGAUUGUUUUCAAAAAGUAAAUCUGAUCAGCAGGAUACGACUUAAAAUGAAAAAAAUAUCGACCACAAUUAUAACAUUUAUAAAAUAUAUUUACUUCAUAUUGAAAUAUCACUUUGCUUGUUUUAUACCGCGAAUCAUUUAUUUCAUAUAACGCAUACAACAUUAAAAGUCCAAAGUGUAAAAAGCAGCCAUGACAUUUGUCAUACUACAGCUUUUCCUUAUCGGAGAGUUUACUUCUGUUUGUAAGCUAUAAGCAAGAAAAAUAGAUGCUCUUACAUGUUUCUUAUGAAUAAUAUAUUUUUUUGUAUAACGUUAA